UACAGAGGGUGCAAGCAUUAAUCGGAUUUAUUGGGCGUAAAGAGCGCGUAGGCGGGUUUUUAAGUCAGAUGUGAAAUCCCGGGGCUCAACCCCGGAACAGCAUUUGAAACUGAGAAUCUUGAGGGUAGUCGGAGAAAAUGGAAUUCCACGUGUAGCGGUGAAAUGCGUAGAUAUGUGGAAGAACACCGGUGGCGAAGGCGAUUUUCUAGAUUAUUCCUGACGCUGAGGCGCGAAAGCAAGGGGAUCAAACAGG
rnacentral:rRNA from 2 species